rnacentral:rRNA from 1 species
ACUCCUACGGGAGGCAGCAGUGAGGAAUAUUGGUCAAUGGACGCAAGUCUGAACCAGCCAUGUCGCGUGCAGGAAGACUGCCCUAUGGGUUGUAAAACUGCUUUUAUACGGGAAGAAAUAUAGCUACGUGUAGUUAUUUGCCGGUACCGUAUGAAUAAGCAUCGGCUAACUCCGUGCCAGCAGCCGCGGUAAUACGGAGGAUGCGAGCGUUAUCCGGAUUCAUUGGGUUUAAAGGGUGCGUAGGCGGAAGUAUAAGUCAGGGGUAAAAGUUUGUGGCUCAACCAUAAAAUUGCCUUUGAUACUGUAUUUCUUGAGUACAUUUGAGGUAGGCGGAAUGUGUUGUGUAGCGGUGAAAUGCUUAGAUAUAACACAGAACACCGAUUGCGAAGGCAGCUUACUAAACUGUAACUGACGCUGAUGCACGAAAGCGUGGGGAUCGAACAGGAUUAGAUACCCUGGUAGCACAGAG